CACAGAGGAAGGAGUGAGUAGCUUUGCUUUCCUGAGGAGACAGCGUUUGAGUUGGCUUGUAAAAGUUCUCAAUGGUGUUCACUCGUUGAAGAUUAAACCAUGGGAAGCUUUCCACUCAGCACCAUCCACUGGCUGGCACAGAGCUUUUGGCGGAUGUGGUGCUCCACAAAUGGUGGUGGUAGAAGAAGAUUCUGACUUUGAUCAUGGCCAUGUCGUGUCUGAGAACUCUCUUUCCUGGCCAGCAAUGGAAACAGACAACUUACCGUGCUCACUACAUUCCAGGCACUGUUGUACGUUAACUCAUCCAGUUAUCUCAGCAACCCAACAAGGUAGGUGAUAUCCUUAUCCCUAUUUUACAGAAGAGGAAACUCAGGUAUAGAGAAAUUAAGCAACUUUUCCAAAGUUGUGUGGUAAGUAAAUGGUAGCACCAGUAUUCCAAACCAGGUGAUGUAGGUCUGAAUGCCAUUCUCUUAGCCAUUACACCAGACUACCUCAGUAAAAUGUAUUUCUACCUAUCUGUGGUAGGCUUAAAAAUGACCCAAGGGUGUCCACAUCACAGUCCCCAGAGCUUGUGAAUAUGACACCUCACAUGGCAAAAAGGACUUUUCUGAUGUAAUUUAGCUAAGGAUGUUGAGAUAGGGAGAGUGUCCUGGAUGAUCCAAGGGAGUCCAAUGUAAUCACAUAGUAGGCAGGAGGGUCAGAGUUAAAGAAAGAGAUGUACCUUGGAAUCAGAGGUGAGAGAGAUUUGUAGAUGCUAUGCUGCUGGGUUUCAAGAUGGAAGGAGGAGUCACGGCGGAAGAAUGCAGGCAGCCUCUCAAAGCUGAAAACAGCAAGGAAACAGCUUCUCCUUUAGAGCCUAAAAAAGGAAUGUAGCUCUGCUGACCCCCCAAUUUUAGACUUCUGACAUCCAGAACUACGCAAAAAUAAAUUUGCACUGUUUUGAGUGACAGUUUUUGGUGGCAAUUUGUUACGGCAGACAUACAAGCUGAUACACCAUCCUAUAAGACCAACUGAAAUGAUUCUCCUACUGUGAGGCUUUCCCUGAAUCUGCAGGUAGACUUGGCUGCCCCUCCUCUGUGCUCUGUAGCAUGUGGCCCUUCAUAGCCCUUAUUUAUUCUACUUACUGGUUUAUGUGUCAGUCUUACGCACAUUGAUGAGUUGUUAAUCGUUGAUUCCUCAGCUCCUCCCCUGCUACCUGGUGUAUAACAUAAUUCAACAAUUAUUCAUUGACUGACUGGCUAGUCAAAUAGCCCAGAGAGUUUGGACCGAGGUCCAAGGAUCACAAGGAGAGCAACUCAGAAACUCUGUAGCAUAGAGGACAAAAGCUUUGGAACAGACAGACCUGGGUCACUAAUAAGCUGUACGAUAUUGAGAAACUGUCCUGACUCCUCUGAGUCUUAGUUUCCGUUUGGGCCUACAAUAUCCACUUUACAUGGUAGUUAUAAAAAUUAAGAAAAAUAUGGAAGCACGUGUCAGGCCAGUUGUUUCAUUAAUUACCUUAUCUUCUUCUGUGUGAGGGGAUAAUCAAUUCAGAGCCUUGGUGUGUUGUCACAUUGGACACUUUCCUCCACUACUGUGUCAGCUCAGACCCACAGCACCAGAAUGGUACCAGGUACUUAAGAGGUUCUCGUUGAAAGGUGAAUGCAUGGUGGAGAAAGAAGCAAUCCCUGCUCUUAGAAAGUGUCUCCUGUGAGUGGCUAGAAAUGAGGGAAGCUAGACUCAAUGUGUAGACAAGGGCUGCCUGUCAUUGCUCUGUACGCUUAACAGUCUACCUGGGGAGAACAGAGAUACCAAGGGACAAUGAGGACAAGAGGAAGCAAAAUCUCCUUCAGAACAAGAAGAAGGUGUCUACACUUUUACCUCUGCCUGCCUGGUACACGCACCCCAGUUGCCUCACCAGAAUAAUUCCUACUUAUCAGCUCAGGACUUGCCUUCCCUGAUCACAACACUGGGUUUAGGAGACCCUCCUACACUGGAUUCAGGAGUCCCUCCAUAGUAUUCCCUUGCGACCCCACACUACCUCACCUCACUGAUUCAUAAUUUAGAGCAGUUUGUAUGCACCCUUAUCAUCUCCAGGGAGCCAUGAGAGCUUAGAGAGAAGACUGUAUGCACCUUCAGUCUUCAAUGACCAUAUGCUCUAAUUCUAACACACCUGGUAGAACGAAUCACUUGGAGAUUUCUGUCAACACCACCAAUAUAUGUAGUUUGAAAUCGUUACUUAGCAUAGAUUAUGGGAUUCACUGAUGGAGAGCUAAUGUACCAGAUCUUGAAUGGAAUAGAAUAUCAAUACCAAUCUAUAAACAUUUAUUUGUUGGAAUAGACCAUCCAUUCAUUUAUUCAUAGACCAACUCAUUCUUUCAAUAAAUAUUUAUUAAGCACCCAUAGUUUAUGACUCAUUUUGUUCAUUCAUUUGUUCAUUCAUUCAACACACAUUUACUGAGUGCCUGUUAAGUGUUAAAACUGUGGAUGUACUGGUGAAGGUAAUAGGAAUGUUUUUCCUAUGGGAAUCUUAUAGGAUAAUGGAGGAAACAGACAAUACAAAUGUAAACACAAAAAUAUAAAAUUUUGGUUGCAAUAAAGUGCUUUGGAGAAAAAUUUAAAAGCACAGUAAUAUAGAGUAAAAAUGAAAGGGUGGUCAGAGAAGGCCCUUUAGAGGAAGUGACAAUUAAGUCAAGCGUUCU
rnacentral:lncRNA from 1 species